GCUCUUUUAGAUCAGAAGUCAGAUCAAGAAUAUGUUGAUGAAGGGUCGGACAGAAUAGCCUCCGACCAAGGGUCGGGAUAGAUAUUUGUCGAUUAGAGAUCGGACAAACCACAAUAAUUAGGCCGCUUGAGAUGCGCUGAUAUAGACCCGAUGGGUCAUAAUAGGCUUGAAUUUUCAUACAUCAUCGAUCCAUUCCAAAUUACUCUUAACAGAUAUCCCCUACUCCCUAGUCCAAGCUCUGGUCGGGCUAUGGGAGUAUUUAUUUUGGUAUUUUGAAUGGCCGG
rnacentral:lncRNA from 1 species